CAGGCAAGAAGUAUGCUGGGAUAUUUCCUCCCAUUCAGCUGGGCUGGCCCAGAAGCUCAGCAAAGUGAAUCCGCCCUCAGAGUCCUUGAAGUAGGAAGGAAAUCAAAGAGGAAAAACAAAGAAAAAAAGGCAGCCCAGAAUCUCCAUGUAGGGGCUGCAUAAAUACAUGAGCGGUGAAAAUCUUCCUAAUGAGUCACAGAAUGAAGACUUGUGUGUGUGUGUGUGUGUGUGUGUAAGUCUAUGUCUGUCUGUCUUGCUUCUCUUUUUCUGUGAAUAUGGCUCCUUCCAUCCAAGUGAGGACAAGAUUCAUGCGGCAGAGAUGUCUGCAAACAGCUCUAGGCUUAUGUUAUUCCACCACCCCAGAGAGUGGCUCCAGAGGAAAGAGAAGACUUCCUCUCCCACUGGGAUGAUAUGAAUUCCUGGAAAGGACUCUGAUUGGUUCCAACUGUAUCACAGGCCCAUGACUGUGUUUGGCAGCCC
rnacentral:lncRNA from 1 species